GCCCGCCUAGCUCAAUCGGUAGAGCGUCAGACUCUUAAGAGUGCUUACGUCAUCUCACGUGACUUGAUUACGUCAUCUGAAGGCUGUGGGUUCGACCCCCACGGUGGGCU
rfam:Sistotremastrum niveocremeum HHB9708 unplaced genomic scaffold SISNIscaffold_32, whole genome shotgun sequence.